GCGGGAAUAGCUCAGCUGGUAGAGCAUCACGUUGCCAACGUGAAUGUCGCGAGUUCAAAUCUCGUUUCCCGCUCCA
rnacentral:tRNA from 3 species